rnacentral:rRNA from 1 species
GAUGAACGCUGACAGAAUGCUUAACACAUGCAAGUCGAUGGGGAAGUGGUGCUUGCACCAUGGUAACCAUGGCGGACGGGUGAGUAACGCGUAAGGAACUUGCCUGCGGGACUGGGAUAACAGCAGGAAACUGCUGAUAAUACCGGAUAAGGUCAUUAAGCUGCAUAGCUUAGUGAUGAAAGGAGACGCCUGCGGAGAGCCUUGCGUCCUAUUAGCUAGUUGGAGGGGUAACGGCCCACCAAGGCGAAGAUAGGUAGCCGGCCUGAGAGGGUGGACGGCCACAAGGGGACUGAGAUACGGCCCUUACUCCUACGGGAGGCAGCAGUGGGGAAUAUUGGACAAUGGGGGCAACCCUGAUCCAGCAAUUCUGUAUGCACGAAGACGGUUUUCGGAUUGUAAAGUGCUUUCAGCAGGGAAGAAGGAAGUGACGGUACCUGCAGAAGAAGCGACGGCUAAAUACGUG